UUUCUGUUGUUUCCUUCCGACAAAUUUCCUGCCUUUCUCCAGUUGAAAAUUGUCCACGCGUUAUAAACAUUGGCAAAAAAAAAAAGUCGGACGGCCUUAAAGCUUCGGAUUGACUUUUCAUACGCGGAAAGGGGGGACAUAAAUCGAGAGUAACUCAUUGGGAAAUAUUUUUCUUCGGAGGGUGUUCUACCCCGGAGCACCUUGUAAAAACCUGGCCCGAGGUGAAGAUUCGGUCUACGGUCAGGUUAUUGGCAUGCAGGACGUUAAAGGGUGGUAAUGGCUCCGACGGUUCAUUCGCGCGGCCAUUUUGGAAAAAUUGAAGAGUAACGCUUCCCAUAAGACCAUGUAGAGGUUUAGUGUUAUGGCAAAAAGUGGCCCCAAGGGUGAGGAAUCGUCGAUGGCUCCGAAGAACUCUUUUUAGUAUUUUAGUCCACCAUUAAGUAUGCUCGCCGAAGUCGUUAUCGUCGCGUUAGUCAUUUUCAUUUCCAUGUCGAGAGUCAGGAAAUCGGUUUUAUCCGGCCCCAGGAGCAGUCGGCGAAUCUUGUCCCUCGAGUCGUCACUUUUUUUCUUAGGCAGUGCGACGUAGAGCUUCCUUGAACUUCAAGGGAGGACGAACCCUCGGUCUUAACUUCGCAAAUCGCUGUGUACCCAUGUCUUCUACGUUAGGCGUACGGAUGUAUAUUGACCGUCGCAGAAAAAAAAAAAGGAAAUGAAAGGAGCUACUUGAACUUGAAUUUGAAUUUCUAAGCGGUUUCCCUGUUAGGUAGUUCCCUGCAUCCUCGUUUCUUUAAAUACCUUUUAAUAUGCCGCCGGUAGUUUGAAAUUCCCGCCGCGGGGUCGGACAAAAUGGCCGACCGGUCGCCAUCGGACGGUCAUUUAUCGGCGGGGAACUUGGCAGGGAAAUUUCCAACCAUCGACCGAGUUUACCAGUAUUGUGACAUAAUCGGGCUUCACUGACAACUAUCGCCCACCAUCGUUAGUCGGUGUUUCGAGUGAUCGCUCGAUAGUCGCGUUUAACUAGUGGAGGACCAUGGAUCGCAUACUGAAGGGCGUCAUGAAGUACAGAAAGUGUCACAAGGAAGGGAUGGUCAAGCAGUUCGAGCAAGUCAAACUGCACCUCGAGCCGAAGGCAGUGUUCUUUACCUGCAUGGACUCAAGGAUGAUUCCGACUAGAUUUACGGAAACAAACGUUGGGGACAUGUUUGUUGGUACGAGAAUCCAAUUCGGCUUUAUUAUUCGCGGCUGAUUGUUUAUUCACUCCGAAAUCAAACGAUGUUGUAAUGAUUCGAGGGGCUCUGAGUGAGGAACGCCGGCAAUAUUGUUCCGCACUCCCAACAUUUCGCAGACGAGCUCACGAUGUGCGAACCUGCGGCCCUGGAAUUGGGAUGCGUUGUUAAUAACAUAAAGCACAUCAUAGUCUGCGGACACAGCGACUGCAAAGC
rnacentral:misc_RNA from 1 species